rnacentral:rRNA from 1 species
CGGAGGGUGCGAGCGUUGUCCGGAUUUAUUGGGUUUAAAGGGUGCGUAGGUGGCUAAUUAAGUCAGUGGUGAAAUACAGCCGCUCAACGGUUGAGGUGCCAUUGAUACUGACUAGCUUGAAAUAAUUGGAGGCUGCCGGAAUGGAUGGUGUAGCGGUGAAAUGCAUAGAUAUCAUCCAGAACACCGAUUGCGAAGGCAGGUGGCUACGAUUUGUUUGACACUGAGGCACGAAAGCAUGGGGAGCAAACAGGAUUAGAUACCCUGGUAGUCCAUGCUGUAAACGAUGAGGACUCGCUGUUGGUGUUCACGCAUCAGCGGCUUAGGGAAACCGUUAAGUCCUCCACCUGGGGAGUACGCCGGCAACGGUG